UCUGCAGCCUGCGGCUCCGUGACUGGUUGGAGCGCAGGCUGCAGGGGAGGAAGGAGGCGGGAUCCCGGGCAUGCAGAGCCUCGCGCGAGUGGACCCGCUACCGUGGACUGGAGGUUAUUGUAAUAACUGGCGGUGGAGAGAGGAACAUGGUCUCCUCCUGUUCUCUGUGUGUCUGUCACUCAUCACAGCCUGUCUCCCAUCAGAACAGCAGUGUAAAACCACCAGGAUAGUGAAGUAUGAGAGAAACCAGAACCCAGGAGUCAGGACCUGCAGAUCAAUCAAUCAAAAUUAAAUGAGAACAGAGAGAAAGAAAGAGAAAGAGAUGCAAUACAGGAAUUAUCCUACGAUGGUGAGCAAGGUCCAGCGUGACAAGAAUAAUGCACUGCGUCAUACAGCAUUUAUCAUCGCAAGCUGGCUCCAUGAACAUGACAAUGGAUUAAUUGUACGCCAAUGGCCUCUACAGUCACAAGAACCCAAUUCAAUAGACCAAUCUUGGGAUGAGAUUGGAAGGGAGAGCCACAGAAUGAAUAUGUAGCCGACAAUUCUGCAGCAACUGCAUGAGACUUAGAAGUCAACAUGGACCCAAAUCUCUACAAGUGUGAAUAUAAAUAAGGAGCUGCUACUUCCAUUUUUUGGGGGGGUUUGGAGGAAAUUAAAGGUAAGUGACUGGGAUGGUGGAGAGAGACAACCAAUCACAAUCCACUAUCUCUUGUACCGGUGGCCUUCUAUUAUCAGGGUAAAUAUAAGCAAAUCCUGGAAGCUAAUGCCUUAGAGUCAAUUAAAUACUUUAAAUUGAAAAGAGGAUAUUUCAGCAAAACAACAAUCAAAAAUAUACCAGAUAAUCAACCAUGAAGUACUUACACAAAUUAAAGAUUAAGGUUUGAAAUGGCCUUCACAGUCCCCAGACUAGAAUAUUGUUGGAAAUCUGUAUUGGAUACAAAACGUGCAGUGCAUACAAGAAAGACUAACAAUAAUUCAGAACCAAAAUAGUUCUGCAAGGAAGAUUAGGGAAAAUAAUGUAAAUCAUGAUGUCCCCUACUUACAUUUCCGUUGCUGCUGAGCCAGUGAAUCUAAGCACCUAACACAUAGGUUAGUCUCAGUGGACCUUGGUGAAUUACAAUCAUCCUCAUGACAUACUGUACAGUAUGUGCUGAAUAUUAUAUUAUUGUACUGUUUCUGUUUUUUAAUUGAAAAA